rnacentral:rRNA from 1 species
UACGGAGGGGGCUAGCGUUGUUCGGAAUUACUGGGCGUAAAGCGCACGUAGGCGGCUUUGUAAGUCAGAGGUGAAAGCCCGGGGCUCAACUCCGGAACUGCCUUUAAGACUGCAUCGCUUGAAUCCAGGAGAGGUGAGUGGAAUUCCGAGUGUAGAGGUGAAAUUCGUAGAUAUUCGGAAGAACACCAGUGGCGAAGGCGGCUCACUGGACUGAUAUUGACGCUGAGGUGCGAAAGCGUGGGGAGCAAACAGG